GUGUCCUACGGGACGCAGCAGUGGGGAAUAUUGGGCAAUGGGCGCAAGCCUGACCCAGCAAUGCCGCGUGAAGGAAGAAGGCUUUCGGGUUGUAAACUUCUUUGACAGGGGAAGAGCAGAAGACGGUACCCUGAAAACAAGCCCCGGCUAACUACGUGCCAGCAGCCGCGGUAAUACGUAGGGGGCAAGCGUUAUCCGGAUUUACUGGGUGUAAAGGGAGCGUAGACGGCAUGGCAAGUCAGAUGUGAAAGCCCGGGGCUCAACCCCGGGACUGCAUUUGAAACUGUCAGGCUGGAGUGCAGGCG
rnacentral:rRNA from 1 species